AUGCACGAUGAAUUUGGUGUCCUACAAAAGGAUAGCAGUCAGUUACAGACUCAGGUGUCAAAUAUCCAAACAGAGGUUCAAGCAAUUGGGUCUAAGCAAGGAGAGAUUUCUUCUACUAUGGGCGAUGUGGAAAAGGUGGUACUGGACUUGGGUAAACAGCUAUCAGUAAUCAGUAAUGUCCUUCAAACCCUGGUGAAAACAACGCAAUCAACACAACAGGUAGAUCGCCCUUCCAGUUCUCAAGAAGUGCCCAAAUCUCCUACACUAAAUCAAGAUUGCUCGCAAGAACAAGAGGCACGAUUGGAGCAGUUAAGGAAGCAGCUAGCAGCAGAGAAAGAAAAGUCUAAGCAGUUAGAAGAUAUUCAGUUACAAAACCUACCACCAAUCAGAGUGAAUAGAGCUGGAGGACCUCCUGGUUUGCAACUCAGGGACGACUGGAACAACAUAGUGCAGUGGGCACUCCGGCAAUAG
rnacentral:rRNA from 1 species